CAGAAAAUAUUUUCCUUGAAAUUUUAAUAUGCAUACGACUUAUUUCAGACUUACUGUUUAAAAGUAAUAAACGUUAAAAGUUUGGACUGGAGGAAUGGGGUAGAGUGCGAUUAUGCAAUUUAUUACCAUCCCUAUUAUUCCAGUUUACAUUUUAAACGGUUAUAACUCAUAAAUUGUUAAUCUGAUAUUCGUGAAAAAGAUAUUCUUCAUUUAAAUCUGUGUUCAAAAAGGGGGAUCC